GAUGUACGCUGGCGGCGUGCCUAAUACAUGCAAGUCGAGCGAACAGACGAGGAGCUUGCUCCUCUGACGUUAGCGGCGGACGGGUGAGUAACACGUGGAUAACCUACCUAUAAGACUGGGAUAACUUCGGGAAACCGGAGCUAAUACCGGAUAAUAUAUUGAACCGCAUGGUUCAAUAGUGAAAGACGGUUUUGCUGUCACUUAUAGAUGGAUCCGCGCCGCAUUAGCUAGUUGGUAAGGUAACGGCUUACCAAGGCAACGAUGCGUAGCCGACCUGAGAGGGUGAUAGGCCACACUGGAACGGAGACGCGGUCCAGACUCCUACGAGAGGCAGCAGUAUGGAAUCGUCCGCAAUAGUCGAAAGCCUGACGGAGCAACGCCGCGUGAGUGAUGAAGGUCUUCGGAUCGUAAAACUCUGUUAUUAGUGAAGAACAAAUGUGUAAGUAACUAUGCACGUCUUGACGGUACCUAAUCAGAAAGCCACGGCUAACUACGUG
rnacentral:rRNA from 1 species